rnacentral:lncRNA from 1 species
UGGUGGAAGCAGACAUUGCAGAGGAGAUCCAUACAACCGAGGCUAGGAGGUAUAUUAACGUUGCACUGAUGUGCGUCCAAGAGAAUGUAGAUGAUCGACCUACAAUGUCAGAUGUUGUUGGAAUGUUAAACAGUGAGAGUGUUGUUCUUCCGGAGCCUAAUCAUCCAGCAUACUUCAACCUAAGAGUAUCUAAGGUACACGAAUCGGCUACUGUUGUUGAUCCAUGUAGUAUCAAUGAUGUUACAAUCACUGUGGAGCCAGAUGGCAGAUGAUUGUGUUAGCGGAAUACCAUACGAUUCAACAAAAACAUCCUAGAGACUUUCACAAUGAUGAUCCGAGUGUAACUUGCUCCAUUAGAGUCCUUGCGAUAUUAACGUCAUCGUCGUGCGUACGUUUUUUUUCUCUCUACCUCUUCCCUUCACAAGUUCCUCUGAUGGAUAAAGAACAGCCAGUCGGUGUGUGUGAUCCUUCUGAUCGAUGUGUGUGGAGAAUGGACAACCAGUGCUCCUUUUAUACGCUACCUACAGGUGCAUCCCUUGGGCCGGCAGACGCGACGUUCCAGCGAACAGGCGCGUCACUCCACUGCCGUCCAGUUUCUUCGGUCGCAUGCCAAUUACUCACGCGCUAAAUUAAUGUGUUUGCCAAUCACGCACGGGUGCAUGCAAACGAUGCGUCGUUUCAGGAGAAGGCGUCUAGUACUAGCAGUAAUCGACCCCAUGCAUGCGCAUCUGUUCAAUGCUUUUAGCAAACCAGCAAGUGCUACUUCCUUCACGCACAUAUAGCAUAUAUUUAAUUGAAGAUUAAUAGAUGGAGAAAAGAGGGAAUUAAAACCCAUAAUUCUAAUAAGUUAUAUUAGCAUCCAUCACACUAAUCUUUUCUUAUUAGAAUCAGUCUAUAAUUUACAUUGGCCACGUAAAUAUUCUUUCUGGGGGAAAGCAGAUUUCGAGAACGCCCGCGCGCCAAGAGGCCCUGGUUCGCGAGAUCCAGAAUGCCGAGGCGCGCCUUUCCGCACUCGGCGUCACGGACUCCAAGGUGGCGGAACUGGAGAACCAGGUGCGCGACGCAGGAGCCCUGCUCGCCGCAGCCGCCGGAGAGCGUGACGAACUCCUGAAGGAGAACCAGCGGAUGCGCGAGCUCGCAGAGCUAGCCACCGCGCGGGAAAUCAAAACGUCCUCCGCAUCGGCCGUACGGGAGACAGUGCUCCGCGAGGAGCUCAAAGCUGCAUCCUGCAGGGUCAGCGGCCUCGAGUCCGCGCUGACAGAGAUGCGGCUUACCUCCGAGGCCCACCACCUCUCGCGGGUCCAGGACCUCGAAGCGCUGCAUUCCUCCGUAUCCACGGAGAAGGACAAGGCGCUCGCCGUGACUGGAGAGCUUGCCGAAGCCCGCCGCCUCGACUGCUGAGCCUUCGGGCUGUAACAGGGCAGGCUGCAGAGGCCCUCCGCGAGCUAGGAUUCCGGUUUGAGCCCGCGGAGGCCCCAGACGCCUCGGCCGCGAUCGCAGAACUCGCCCGCCUCGUCCGAUAACUUCCGGCGAUACGGGCCGCCAUGGUCGAGCAGAUCCGCGCGGAGAGCAAAGAAGUCAUUGAAGUCACCGCCCAGCUCAUCUGCUCGCGAGUACACUUCCUCUGCCCCCAGCUUGACUUCACCGGAGUUCUUGAAGACUGGGUGGACGCCGACGACGCAUGCAGCCUCCCAGGCCACGAGGCCGCAGUCGCUUCCAUCGUACAAGCGAUCGGUGCGAUGAUGGUCCGAGCGGAAGUCGACGCGCCCGUCAACGGCGCCCAACCAAUCCCCGAGACCACCCCUACGGCGGAAGACGCGUCCGUCCCCGCGGGCCAUUAGUUCCUACAAGAGCUCUCAUCAUCGCUCCAUUUUGUUGUAUCCCUUCUGACGAGCUUAUUGUAGUCUUUUUAUUCCUGCAUUUUAAAUUUCAAAUCCCAAACUUUCGACAGACCCAAGUAAAGUGCGUAUGUAUGCAUGCUCAUGCGUGUAUGUAAGUAUGUGCCGUACCAUCUCUAGCCCCUCGGCGGUGGUGAGUCCCUUAUGAACUUUGCGCGUGUGCACGGUACUGGUUGUAAAGUCACAUAGGGCUCACCGCCGCCCAUUUGCUUUUGACAAGAAUCGAUAGGGAACCAAAUAAACUUGCAACUCCAAGCAAACAUUUAAAUAUCCAGAAAUUCAACUUGUUCAAUCCAAAUAAAGUUCUAGCGAAUUACGCUGGGGAGCGACCCUGGCUACGCUAGUGUUGGGUGCGUAUCUUCGAUCUGGAACACGGCUUUUGGGAAUAGGGCCUCGAGGCUCACGGAUAGAACCUACGGAGAUGGUACUUUUGGAGGUGCUCGAUAUUCCACGAAUUUUUCACCGGCAGUCCAUCCUUCGAUUCCAGUAUGCAGCCCCCUGCCUUGGGACAUGCAGUACGUCAAGCUUUCUUCGCAGAACAAGAUCCCCCGGCUGCAAUUAUCACUUCGGGCUGAGCUUGUUCAUGCCCCUAGCGUCAAGCUUUCUUCGCAGAACAAGAUCCCCCGGCUGUGCGCAAUUCUCUCGGCCGCACCCGGCUGUCAAGGUACCGCCGGAGCGCCUGUUGGUAUCGCGCCACGCGCUUCAACGCUUUGUUGCGUACUUCUUCCAAGAAAUUCAUGUCGUCGAUUCUUCUUUCAAUUUUUUGGUCUUCUUGGUAAGCUCGAACUCAGGGCGACCCGAAAUUGAGCUCCGUUGGUAGCACCGCCUCGGCCCCGUACACCAGGGCGAACGGAGUUUCGCCCGUAACCCGGCUCGGGGUUGUCCUGAGGGACCACGGCACCGUGGGCAACUCGUCCACCCACCGCCUGCCGUGGACCCCCAACUUGUCGAAUGUCUUCAUCUUGAGGCCCCGUAGCACCUCUGCGUUGGCCCACUCCACCUGUCCAUUGCUCUCCGGAUGAGCUACAGAAGCGAAGCGUAUCUUCGUCCACAUCUCUGUGCAGUACGCGUUCAACACCGUGCUUGUGAACUGCAUGCCAUUUAUCGGUUAUGAUGCUGUUAGGCACCCCAAACCGACACACAAUUCCUUUGAAAAACUUGAUGGCCGCCUGCACGGUCACCUUCCGCACAGGUUCCACCUCCACCCACUUGGUGAAUUUGUCGACUGCCACCAGCAGGUACUCGUACCCGCCGACGGCCUGCGGCAAUUUGUCGACAAUAUCCAGCCCCCAGACCGCAAAGGGCUAGGCGUCGCAAGUUCGCAUCAGUUGCUCGGCGUCCGUCUUGGCCGUCGGCCAAUAGAAACCUUGCCGAAACGCUUUCCCGGCAGGAGCCCUCGAGGCUAAGUGAUGUGAGCACAUUCCUUUGUGUAUAUCCUGCAAGAGUUCUAGGCCUUCUUCCCUUGUGAUGCAUAACAACCUUACGCCGUUGGGACGCUCCCGAUACAGCUCGUCAUCAAUCAACACGUACAUCUUCGUUCGUCGGGCCACACGUCCAGCAUCCUCUUCCUUCGCCGGGAGCCGAACUUCCUUGAGGUAGGCCACUAGGUCAGUCGCCCACGGCGGCGUGCUCCUCUUGGUGAGUGUUUCUUCGCACCCUGGGAUGGCCAUUACGCUCCUUGUUUUACCCCACCCUCCGCUUGGGACCUCGCCGCCACCUCUCCCUCGGGCGACGGGGUCAGCUUUGUGGAGACGGCCGGUUUUCGGCGGGUUUCCAAGACCACCCCUGGCAGGAGCUUCCAGCGUUUUGCAGCAGCCCUCGCGAGCUCAUCCGCUGCCAUGUUCUUGUCCCGGUGGACAUGCUCGAACUGCAAGCCGUCAAAUUCUCUCUCCAUCUUGCGCACUUCCUCGACGUAUGCCGCCAUCUAUGGACAUCCAUAUUCCUUGUUCACUUGGUUGACCACGAGUAGGGAAUCUCCGCGGACAAUCAAGCGCCUAACGCCGAGCUCCUUUGCUGCUCUUAGCCUGACGAGCAAGCCUUCAUAUUCUUAUGUGUUGUUCGUUGAUCUGGGGAAGUCCAGGAGAACCGCGAACUUAAGCUGAUCUCCAGUUGGGGAUUCGACCAACACACCGGCACCCGCGCCCUCAUAGGUGAAGGAGCCGUCAAAGUACAUGACCCAACGCCCACCAUCUUCUACGCCGGGCCAGUUGGUUUCGGGCUCCUCCCCAGUGAUCAUGGAUGUAGUCCACUCGGCCACGAAAUUAGCCAACGCGGCACUCUUGAUGCUUUUCAAAUUUCUGAACUUUAGGUUGAAUUCCGAGAGCUCCAUUCUCCAUUCCGCCACUUGCCCGAUCGCUUCUUGGUUCGUGAGGGCUCGCUCCAGACAGAACCCUGUUACGACGGUGAUGAGAUGCACCUGGAAAUAGUGGCGUAGCUUCCGGGACCCCAAAAGGCUGCCGAGUAGCAGCUUCUGAAUCUGCGGGUACCUCUGCCCCCCGUCUCGUAGCACCGUAUUGACGAAGGUACACAGGACGCUCAGCAAGACGUCGUCGGGUAAGCGGAGCCCCGGGGGGAUCCAUCCCAUCCCCCCGGUUGCCCCACUUGUUCCGCCCCCGAGACGUUACCUCCUCCUAAGCCCUCUCCGGGGGUCAGCGCCCCGGAGGUAACCCCGGAAGUUCCGGUCCUUGGCCGUAACCCCGUAAGUUCCGGUCCUCGGCCGUAACCCCGGAAGUUCCGCAAAUUCCAUUGGGGGGUAACCGAGAGCACCCCGAGGUUCACCCGGAGGUUGGGGCGGAAGUUCCGGUGCCUAGAGAGUUCGGUGCACAGGAAAUGAUUUUCCGAAUUGUCUUUUCUCUCUCUCACUUUGGGUAGGUUUUAUGUGGGUGCAAAUAUGGUAGAUUUGUGUACGUGAAGUUGAUUCACCAUUACCUUCCCAUUUGGACUCGCUCUUUAUAGUACGGAGUUCCUACGGCGACUCAAUAUAAAUAAAAAGCCGCUAAACACCGCUAAGCUUCUUUCCUUUUUUGAGGGCAACGAACCAUCUUGUGCCAUUCGAUAUCAAAUCUGAAACACUCAAGCAAACGGUUAGUCCACGUGUCAUGUUGUCAUUAACACCAAAACACUUAGGGAGGGAAAUGCCCUUUCAGCGUCCACCCUCUUCCUGCCUCGACCCGACAGGUCGGGUUGUCUGGACGCGACGGAGCAGGUCGCCCCAUCACCGGGCAUGGGCGGUGCAGGCCCCGUCUUGUCGCUACACAGUGCAGAUUCCUUGCUUGUUUUACUCUUCUGUCGCCCCAACUACUGAGCCAGAGGCUUUAAAGGGGCUGACAGGUCGCACCACGUGUGGCGCUCAUGCCUUGCAUCCGCCUGCUGAACAACGAGCCCUCACCAGAGCCCCGACGGGGUAGUGCCAGGCCAGCCCCAAGAGGCACUUGGACCCCGACUACCGGGAGUCCGACACAAGCCCGUGGGCCACGGCGUGCCAGGCCCGACACAGAUUAAUCGGGCCGAACAAAGAGCACGCCUGUGUCGUGCGUGGGCUUCAUCCUCCGUUUAGAUUAUUUUUCCCAUACCGGGCCUCCAGCAGAUAGGCUUGGGCCUCUUUUUUCCUUUUAUUUUACUUUUUUGGCAUCUUCUCAUGCUGGGCUAAGCCCAAUUAGCAUUUUUUUUCUUUUUCUUUUUUUAUUGUUAGGCUACGUUUUGUUUUUGUUUUUCUCCUUGCUAGGCUGGAUGGGCCCGGGCUAUUUGACAGGCCUCGUCGGGCUUAAAUGGGUCGGGAUGGUCCGGUGGGGCUUCAGGUUGUGCGUGGGCUGCCAGGGGCAUUUUGGGGCCGGGCUUGUUUUUCUCCUUGCUAGGUGGGACGGGCCCGGGUUUGUUUUUCUCCUUGCUGGGCGGGACGGGCCUGGGCUAUUUGUCAGGACCAGUCGGGCUUAAAUAGGUCGGGACGGUCCGGUGGGGCGUCGGGCUAUGCCUGGGCUGCUAGGGGGCAUUUUGGGGCCGGCCUGGCCCGGCCCGAUGGCCAUCUAUAUCCAUCAACAUCGUCAAUUCUAAGAUUUGCCGGUUUAGUCUCUCAGAGGUGCUCAUAGAGGUACGACGUGCGUUCUGAUGUUUGCGUAUUUGUUGGCGUUUGCGUUUGUACGGUAUUUCUCAAUAAAAAAAAUCACUCUUUAUGGUAACCAAACACUUCGAUGUAUAUAAACUGAAGCAAAUAUGAAAACUGCAGUAGUAGUUGGAUGUAUUGGUGGUGGUGGAGAAAUUUUUGGUUCCUAAUUUGAUGUUCGGUUUUGAUGAUGUGUGGGAGGGGAUAAACAUAUACUCCCUUUGUUCCUUAAAUUAAGACGGUCAAGAAAACAAUAUACGCCAUAACUUAAUGAAUGGAGGGAUGGCCUGUUUAACUCUUUUAUUUUAUAUUCAGAGCCCAUCCCCUCUUUCUCUAGGAAACAGAGAUACCUGAGCUGGCCAUCUAAGUUGACCGAAACAAUAAGAGAAAGUUCACCUGAACUAGAUUCAGGCUGCUGCAGGUAGUGAGGCCUGUCAGGCUAAAGUGGCUAGGCCGGCCCGGGUUGGGCUCAUGUGCCGUGUCUGGGUCCGGGGUUCGCUGCAACGGACUGUCACGGCAUGCCCCAUUGGAUCUUGAUUCGUCCUCAUUUGGGUCCUCCAGGUCUUCAUCGAAAUUUCUAUAGCCCGCUGAGAUGUAUCAAUGUGGGUGAGCCCAAGCUUCUUUCAAAUCGAGAACAUACAUAUGCACUUAUGGAGAAGAUGGGCCGCCAACUCCUAUACUUGCUUGCAUCAUGGACAAUUAGACAUAGCCCACAAUUCGGCCACCUCCACAUUCCAUACGGUCGGGCGUUCAUAGCUUGUCUCGAAUAGCAACCUAGGUGAACAUUUGUGCUUUGGAGGUGUACACACCUUCAAAACAACAACCCAGCACAUCACGACCAUCGAUUUGCCGAAGGUGGUGAAUAUAUUCCCCGAAACAACCCCUCUUUCUCUAUGAAAUAGAGAUAAUGAGCUGGCCACCUAAGUUGAUCAAAACGAUAAGAAAAGUGUAGCUGAACUAGAUUUAGGCUGCUGCUGGUUGUGAGGCCCGCCAGGCUAACGUGGCUAGGCUGCCCGGCUGGGCUCACGUGCCAUGUCUGGGUCUGAGGUUCGCCACACGGGCUGUCACGGCAUGCCCCAUUCUGGCGGGCCCGGGUCAGGCCGUUGGCCAGAUAUAAAAUAUACACUGAAUGUUUUAUCAUUCUAGUAUGGGAAAUGUAUUAUUUUUCGUCCCUCAACUUGACGGAAAGUUCGAUUUUCGUCCCUAAUUUGUUUUUACCCAAAAUUUUGUCCGCCAACUAUCAAAACCGGAAUCUUUCGGUCCCUUUGUCGAACCGAAGCGGUUUCCUGGCUCCGAUGGCCAGUUUCGGUCAUAGAUUUGUAAGAUUUGGGAUUAGGAAUCGGGUGUUUGACAAAAUUGGUUGGUGUUGAAUGUGUGGUUGUUGUUCAAAACUCACAAGCACCAAUUUCAAGAAGAUUUGGCAACCCCCAUGAGUGAAAACCGGACACGUGAACUAGAAAACCGUUUCGGUUUGAGUGGAGGGAGCUUUAACAGUUGGAGGGUGAAAAAGGCAUGAAUUUUUUUAGAAACGAAAAUUAUGAUAAAUUAAAGGACGAAAGAAAUAUUUUUCUCCCUUAGUAAAAAAGAAAUAUCACGCGGGGAGCUUGGGAAGCGUUGGAUGUUCGGUUUUGCGCGUUGGAGUACGGAUGGAACAACCACGGGAGCAUUAGCCAAUGUUGUGUCUGUAAUUCUGUAUGCAUACUUGACGAUGUGACGCAUGCAUGCAGUGGACCAGCCUUUCUGGGCAGUCAGAUGCACUGCAAAGAGCACAGGGCCUGUCUCGCACAUGCGACAACAGUGUAUAGGUCCCAGUGUUGCUCAAGUUUCAGAAAAAAAAAUCUUGGCUCUCUAUCUAGCGGCGCUAUUUUUUUAAAAAUAAUAUAAUUUUUUUAAUCAUUUUCGAAAAUAAUACGCGUUUUUCAGAAUUUACAAAAAUAAUGCGGCCUUGGCCUGGACGAGGCCGAUUGGGCCUAGUCGGCCUGGCCCAAGCCGAUUAGGCCCAGUCGGCCUCGGCCAGGCCGACUGCAUGCCGCCUGCCGAGCGCGCGAGGCAGUCGGCCUGGCCCAGGCCGACUGAAGUCCAUUUGGCUUCGGCCAGGCCGACUGGUCCAGUGGGUUUGGGCCAGGCCGACUGGAUUCGGUCGGUUUGGGCCAGGCCGAUUGAAAGUCAUUAGGCCCAUUUUUCGAUUCGGAUCAUCGUGGUCUUUUGAACUAAAAGACUCGACAACUUGGAUAAAAGUAACACGCCGAAUCCGAUUGGAAGAAAUUAGGCUUCGCCGCUAGUUCGUUGCAUGAUCAACGCAUACACGGCCGAGGCAUUUUUGUCUCGAAUCCAUGCGGUUUUUUGAACUAAAAGACUUGACAACUUGGAUAAAGAGUAACAUACAUUGAUAAUGUGCUGGACAAUUUUUCUGUCGAUUCUUUGCGGUUUCUUUGAACCGAAAGACUUGACAUUUGGAUGAAUUUGGAUAAAUUAACAUACAUCGAUAAUGUCCUGGUUACGGAACCAAAGCAUGACUAAAUUAACAUACAUAGGUAAUACCGCAAUUGGACAUUAUUAAAAAUAGCAAAUACAUUUGAAACACAAGCACUACUGAGUCCACUUAGGCCAUUUUCCACUCGUAUCGCCACGUUCUUCUGCAGCCUUUGCCACGGUGGCCCUUUCUCUUUGCCUCUCCCUUUCUGCCUCACGUGCAUCCUUGCGCUUUCGUUCUUCCUCUUGCAUCUCAAGCGCUUUCUCCCUGUUUUUCCUUAGUGCUUCGUCAAUCCAACGACGUUGUUCCUCCCUAUGCUCUUUCAUCUCUCUCUCUUGCUCCUCUUUCUCCUGGGCUACAGCUUUUUCUGCAUGCUCCUCCGCGUGGAAACGCUGUCAUGCAUUUCGGGACCUUGUUUUGAUCUCUUCCACCGCCCAAUCCGGCAUCUCCGUGUCAAUCCAACGAUACCACAUGCAUAGGGACGGAGGAGACUACAAAAAAGCCUACUGUUACAAAUCUGAUAUGACAUAGAAAACAUGUUUUAGAACACCUAAAUGUGCUUACCGGAGGCUUGUCGUACGGCGAAACCGGGACAGGUGGUUCAUAUGCAUAGUUCGCGCACAUGAAAAACCUCAUGCCCAGCUUAUCUAAAAAAUCUGUCACCUCCUUCACCUUGCAUAGAUUGCCGCACCAACACCUGAGAUGUUCCACCCCCCGAGGCAACAUCGCAUAUUUCAUCCUCGUCGGCCUCUCGCCCUGGUCGGAGCAAGGCAAACUCAUUGGGGGACACUGGAAUAUUGGGAAAAACAGUAGUGGGAAGGAUGCUUGGAUGACUACCGGAGAUGAGAUAUUUAUAGGCUCUCAAACUCAUUCUCCCACCACCGUUUCCCGCCUCCUUUUCGCGCCACCGUUUCCUGCCUGGUUUUCCCGCCACCGUUUUCCCCCGCCUCCUUUUCGCGCCACCGUUUCCCGCCUGGUUUUCCCGCCUCGUUUUCGCGCCACCAUUUCCCGCCUCGUUUUCCCGCCACGUUUUCGCGCCAGCGUUUCCCGUCUAUUUGUAUCUUCUGUAACUAUAAAAGACCGUCCAUGGUAUUGAAGUGUAGUCUCACCAUUUCGUCUGGGAAGAUGUCAUCCGGCUUCCCAGAUGAUCGUAGAUUUUGGUCAGGUAUGUCCCGAGAGCUAUUGUGGUUAGCCGGUGAUUUCAAGGUAGACAAUAGGAUAGUUCCAUGGGACGAACUCAUUAGUAGUGACAUCCUACGAACUGAGCUGGGCCACCAAUUAUAUAGGUGCAAUUUUCCAUUGAGGAAUUGUGCAGAGAUACGGCAAGAACUGCUAAGGUUGCACGAGAGGUGGAAGAAGCACAGUGAAGGUAAGAGUGAGUCAUACCUACAAUGGGCUAGAAAACAUCCAUUGUUAUGGGUUGAAGAGGAGGAAUCCGAUGAAGAUAUCUUCAUGCCAAGAAAAACGGGUAAGAGUUCUUCAUCGUUCAAGGGGAAGAGUACUGCACCGUUGAAGCGAAAGAGCACAUCAUCGUCCAAGGGGAAGAGUACAUCAUCGUCCGAUGAAGAUAUCUUCAUGCCAAGCAAAACGGGUAAGAGUUCUUCAUCGUCCAAGGGGAAGAGUACUGCACCGUCGAAGGGGAAGAGCACAUCAUCGUCUAAGGGCAAGAUCACUUCAUCUUCGUAGGGCUAGAGUUAAGUUAUCUUAUUUUAAGUUGUCAGUUUUAAUUUCAGUCUUUCUAUUGCAUAUGUAUUUCAGUCCUGCCGUUAUUUAUAUGCAAAUGUAACUUGAAUAAGAAUGCGAAAAUUAGUAACAUGUCUCUCUCAUACAUAGGUAGAAAUAUGUCUCAUACAUAGAUAGAAAUAUGUCUCAUACAUAAGACCUACAUGCAAAUAUCAGGCAGGCGUCUGGGACAGCGUUCUGGAGGUGCCUGUGGCGUGGUCCAGCCAUACCUAUGAGGUGGCACUAGUUGCGCGGAGGAAUCACGGACCCAUCCUCACGAUACUGUGUAUCCUAAUGUGUGGGGUCUGGUGGCGGAGUACUGAACAUCCAGCUGUGUUGGACAGAAUAGUCCUCUCCUUGAGCGUUGCUCACUACCCCACGAGGGUUCGGACAACGACGACUGAUGCCCAUAGGCUCCUGCAUGUGGGAAAGUACUUAGCAUUACAAUUGUGUAGUAGUCAUGUUAAUGAACACAAUAGAUAGAAAUAUACAUACCCUGUGGCUGGGUCUGUGGACGAAACUCGAAGUUCAUCCUGGGACUCUGCAGGUGCCAAUAGUCGAAAGAAGACUGCGGCUGGUGCCACGACGAACCUCCGGCCUGCUCAGGAGGAGGUGGCCUGGGCGUCGACUGCUCUGGUAGACGUGGACGCGGGUGGUGUCGGGGGUGCGGUGCUUCCUGCUGACGUGGCCGCUGCUGGUGCGUGGAGUGACGAGGGGGCCUACGGACGCCUGGUGGUGAACGACGUCCGAAGUGCGGGUGCACGUGAUAGCAGGGUAAACAGAGCGUAGCUUCUCCUCCAUUCAUCCAAGCCAGGACUGGUGCGGCUCCCGUGGUAGUAGAAGUGGACCGGUCGAAAGCGAACGUCCAUACGCAGCGAACUCGGCCUGUAAAUCCUGUGUCAACUGAGCUUGCAAUUGGCACGAAGAGUAUUACAUAUAUAUGGCAAAGUACGUAACAAAUACAUGCAUUAUGUUAAGAGAAGAUACUUACCGCGUGCUGUCUAGAGCCUGAAGUAGACUGGCGGGUACAUAUCUUGCAAACUUGGCUCGGCUAUCUCCUGGGGGUGAGAGUGCUGAAUGAUGCUCAAUCGGGUAGCUGUCAUGUACCUCUGCAAAUAUCCGUUGAAUAGAUCGAGAUCAAAAGCCGCCAAUGGCCAAACCCAUGUCGUCGCAGUCUCCCACUCUGUGACGUACGACUGAUCCCUCUGCAGCCACUGAGUCUGGGUCCUGGUACUUCUCUUCCUUGUAAACCUAAGAUCGCAUAGAAUGUUGAACAAUUAAAUUAUGGACAAUUCUGGAUGACAAUCAUAAAUUGGAGAACUGCACAUACCUGUGGACGAUCUGUGGAAGUGGAUCCUCCGUCGGUGGAGGAAUGGCCAACUAGCGUGCCCCAAACUGCCUCAUGACCCAUUGCUGGGCCAUCUCCUCCACGCAGACGUCGAAGAUGAUCUUUGAUUUUGUCAUCCAGUAAGCGUAAUCUCUCGUGCAAACCGUGGACAUCCCGCCAGGGUAUCUAUCUUCGAUGGCGUCCUGUGUGUACGGCUCUCAGACAACCACCUCAGAGUGCAACACGUCGAACUGCUCGUUGAAUGAUGGGUAGCAAUUCCUGACCUGAUCGUGUGCAAAGCGUCUCUGUAAAAAAAAGAAGUUAGCUUCAUUCAUGGUUUAUGUAAACUAAUGUAUGAAUUUCACAUUCGACAUACCUUGCUACGUGUCCAAAUUGUCGCGAAAGUAGGCAGGUCGAUGUGUUCUAAGUCAAACAACUCCUGCUCAGGGUUAGGGUAAUCACCCAUAAUGUCUGGUCGGCCGAUAGAAAACCUCUCCCAUGACCAGAGCUGAAACAAUAAAGGACAUCCAAGCAGGGCUGACUUGGGCGACGCAAGCUGGCAAGCGUUGCACAUACCUCGGUACGUAGCCGCUAAGACGGCCGAACCCCAACUCCUCUAUGUGAUGUCAUCACCACAAGUUGCAUUCGCGAUCUCCACUGCAAUAGGGAUGUAGCGUGCGCUAAUGGUGGUGACGUGGUUCUCGGUGAACAUCACCUUCUCGAGAAGCCACAUUAUAUAUGCCUCAAGGCUCCGAGUGAUCUGAGGCUCAGUCAUUUGGGUCUCUGGAUACCCAAACUUCUGAAUCUGCAUGCAACAAAAACCAAGUGGUAGUAAACCCAUGCAAGUAUAUGAGGUAUGCUCUUAGAUAUAAUAACUUAAAACACAUCGAUCUAACCUGGUAAUUGAGCAACCAAUCUAGCUUAGGUCCGUGAGCCUCCGAGGUGAGUGGCCCAGCUCCGGCAAGAAUACCUUGAAAACGUAGGGCACAAAUUAACACAUAGUUCCACAUAGAGUACAAAUUAAAACACAGGGCAUAAAUUAACACAUACCUUGAAAGCGUAGUGCCAUACACUCCUGCCAAUCAGCUGGUGCCUACAACAGUCCUAUGGGAUCACCCACCAAUGGUAGUCCCAGCAGCAUCGACACAUCCUGGAGAGUAGGAGCCAUCUCUCCCCAGCGAAACGUGUGUGUCUUGGGCCUCCAUCUGUCCACUAAGCAGCUCAGCAGCGAGUGGUCAAUUUGUAGCUGUGUAGAGUUGAAGUCUCGUCGCUCGCCCUCUACCAUUUCCGCACGAGUUGCCUCAGCAAGUUGUGCGAAAGGUAAAAGACUAGCCCACUUCAAACUGCAUAAAUAAAAUGGACAUGCAAUGGAUGAAUAAAUAAAAUGGACAUGCAAGGGAUGAAUAAAUAAAAUGGACAUGCAAGGGAUGAUUGAAUAAAAUGUACAUGUAAGGGAUGAAUAAAUAAAAUGGACAUGCAAGGGAUGAUUGAAUAAAUACCGCUGAAUCCAGGCAGGGUGUAUCAUCCAAUUUUUCUUAGGAGUGCGCGUGACAAGGGGCUCGACACUCAUAGGAUGCGCCACCAAUCGAGCAGCCCGAUGCUUACUCUCAAUCUCUUGAGAUAGCAAUGAUACUCUCUCCAUUUUGUACCUACAACAUUUAUAAACAUAGUUAGACAUACAAAUUAAAGUUCAGCAUAGUUAAACCGAGAGUACAUAUUAAAACAUAGUUGAACAAAGCGUAAAAAUUAACACACAGUUCCACACAGAGUACAAAUUAAAACAUAGGGCACAAAUUAACACUUAGUUUCACAGAGUACAAAAUAAAACUUAGUUCCACAUAGAGUACAAAUUAAAACUUAGUUUCACAGAGUACAAAUUAAAACUUAGUUUCACAUAUAGUACAAAUUAAAACAUAGGGUACAAAUUAACACAUAGUUUCACAUAUAGUACAAAUUAAAACAUAGGGUACAAAUUAACACAUAGUUUCACAUAUGCAUGAUAAGCCUAGUUUCUUCCUCUCCCUCGUCGUCCACGUCUCCCUCUUCCACGGGCAGUAGCUCCACCAGUAUCGAAAGUUGGACAAUAAGUGUCCCUGUGGCCAAAAUGGUUGCAUAGAAAACAUUGUCGUGACGGUCCUCCGGCUUCAGAUUCAUCCAUAUCAUUUCAGAUGCGCCUGGACGGGCGUCUGCAUGUGCCUGUCCGCAGUAGCCCGGGGUCAGGGAUGUACCGCCUUUCACCAGGGGUUACCUUGUUGAAAUUGCCCAUUGCACGAAACCCUGGCAUCUCACCCGUCCAUGUGCUAAGCACAGACUCUUUCAGGUAAUAGGGAGACACAAAUGAGAUUGCGUCCAUCCCUAGCUGCCCGCAAGCAGCAAGUAUAUGUGAGCAAGGAAGGUGAAGCAACUUUGGUUUGUUGCAGGUGCACUCACACGUUGGGCACACUUCAGUUCCAAUCUUCACCUCCUGUGUCCUCAAUUCAUUUCCAACGCCAAACUUGUCAGUUGGCAAGCGCACCUCAAACUUGUGUUCUUGAUUACCGAUGGCGACGACAGUAUGAGACCUAGCUUUUUCCAUCUUCUCAUCCAUGUACUUCAUAAUCUUUUCACAGUACGGUGUAUUUGGGUUGUUCAUGAUAUGCAUUUCAGCUCUCUGGCAUCUUUCUCUGAAAUACUUCACCGUGCCAUGGAAAAUACCCUCGACGAUGGCUGUAAGUGGUAAAGCUCUAUUUCCCCUCAAGACAGAGUUGUAUGUGUCUGCCAGGUUAGUAGUCAUGAUGCCGUACCUAGCGCCAUGUGUGUCGUGCAGCAAAGACCACCGCUCCAGAGUCUCGUGCUCUAUCCACUGCUGAAAGUUUUUAAUCAGGCUCCCAACCCUUCUCCUAGUGCCGGGUGGGUCAAAUCCUGGCAAGUCACAAAGCCCAACAGGUUCUUCCUCAGAUGGUCAUGUUCCAAUUGAUGUCUGUGCAGCCACUGCUGCUACAUGUGCUGCUACCGCCGCGUUUCGUGCCGCUGUCCUCUCCCUAACAUGUUUCUUCAUGAACUCAUCAAGAUAACCACGUAUCCUAGUGUACUUCCAUUGUUGGUUCUGUUUGCAGAGUUUCUUGAAUAGAUUCAUAAGUGACUUGUUCCUGAACUGCGAGAAGAAGUUGGCCCCCAAAUGCCGCAUGCACCAACGACUCUGCAUGUCCUGCCAUGGAGUCUGUUCAUCAGGCCCAGGGUUUGUCAGUGUCCUUAUCGCACUGAGUAUGCCUGCAUGUCUGUCAUGAAGGAUGCACACAUUCGGCUUAUCAUGCACAACUGCUCUCUUGAGCUGCCUGAAAAACCAUAACCAACUUUCAGUGUUCUCACCCUCCACGAAAGCAAAUGCGAGCGGAACGAUUUGAUUGUUGCCGUCAUGCCCAUCAUUCACGGUCAUAGCUGAAGAGAAGUGCUGAUUCCAUGAUGCAGGAAUCGGCACCUCCUCUUCGUCCGACUCAUGAGACUCAUCGUCAUAAGAACUACGACCAUCUGUAUUUUCAUCCUCCAUCUCGUUCUGCAAGUGACCAUCUUCUUCGUCCGCAUCUGCCUCGCCAGUGUACUCAUCCUCUCCUACUGCCUCGGAGCUCUGGCCUGAUUCAUAACCACCACCUCCAGCAUUUGACACAGAGUUUGCAUUGGACAAGUCAUAACUUGAUUCACCCUCGCCUUCAGCUGGAUUGGUCUCAUGAGCGACAACCUGGAUUAAGGCGACAGGUGUAGUUCCCCUUUUCUUACAACUUUCUAACCAGCGCACCCACUUUGAUGUCCGGUCUAUCGGCCUCAAAACCCAGAAAAUAUUUGAACUUGACUUGGUCCACAAUGCUUGCACACGGACGGUGUAUGUUUCAGGAUUGACCGCUAAACAUCCUACCAACCAUUCCUACAACUAACUAUACGCCCAUGUUUGAGGGGCCUUUAGAUCCAACUCCACAUACUUAAACUGACUCAGAUCAGCUCCGUGCUCGAUUGUUAAGACAGUACCGGACCGUAGUAAAAAACAAACUUCACUACACCGGACAUCUCGGAUGCCUAAAAAAAUGUUUAGACGCGUCAAAUACUAAGCAGUACGGCAUAUAAAAAAUAUUAUGACGCGUCAAAUACUAGGCAGUACGGCAUAUAAAAAAUAUUAUGACGCGCCAAAUACUAACCUGUACGGCAUAUAAAAAAUAUUAUGACGCGUCAAAUACUAACAUGUACGGCAUAUAAAAAAUAGGCAGUACGGCAUAUAAAAAAUAUUAUGACGCGUCAAAUACUAGGCAGUACGGCAUAUUAAAAAUAUUAUGACUCAUCAAAUACUAAGCAGUACGACAUAUUAAAAAUAUUAUGACGCGUCAAAUACUAAGCAGUACGGCAUAUUAAAAGUAUUAUGAAACGUCAAAUACUAAGCAGUACGGCAUAUUAAAAAUAUUAAUAUGCGUCAAAUACUAAGCAGUACGGCAUAUUAAAAAUAUUAUGACACGUCAAAUACUAAGCAGUGCGGCAUAUUAAAAAUAUUAUGACGCGCCAAAUACUAAGCAGUACGGCAUAUUAAAAAUAUUAAUAAGCGUCAAAUACUAACCAGUACGGCAUAUUAAAAAUAUUAAUACGCGUCAAAUACUAACCAGUACGGCAUAUUAAAAAUAUUAAUACGCGUCAAAUACUAAACAGUACGGCAUAUUAAAAAUAUUAAUACGCGUCAAAUAGUAAACAGUACGGCACAAAUAAAAUCUAGCCUAAUCAAAACAUAUUACUACCGGCCAAACUAUUUGGACACGUCAAAUACUAAGCAGUACGACAGAUUUAAAAUAUUAAUAGGUGUCAAAUACUAAACAAUACGGCAUAAAAAAAAAUCUCAUCUAUCAAAACAUAUUACUACCGGCCAUAAUAUUUAGACGCAUCAAAUACUAAGCAGUACGACAUUAACCGUUGUCCAAAAUAAUGAGCACUACCAAACGCUAAAACAUACUUCUGGCAUCACCACCAUUGCUCCAAUCAAAACAUAUACAUUGAAGCAGUACACACGUAUCCUCAUAAACAUCAUGUGUCUAAGCAGUACACACGUAUCCUCAUAAACAUAUACAUUAUAGGAUAAAUACGUGAGAGAUUAGGAUUUACCCUUGAAUCGUGUGAACCCAACCUCGAGCAGCCUCACGGUCACCAGAUGAGCACCACCACCUCCAAACUCCUCCAAACCACCAUCAUUGCUCCAACUUUGCACCACAAAAUUAGCUCCACAUGGCCAAUGAAAACAGUAGAUCGAGGUGUCUUUGGGUGCCAACUAGGUAGGGGAUGCGAUUUUGUGGGUUAAAUGGGAUCAAAAUGCACUAAUUUGGGCUAGAAAAUGGGGGCAUUUGAGGAGGAAAUGAAGAACAUAGAAGAGAAGGAGCUAGCUGCUGUGAGAACGAGCAGAGGAGGAAGAAGCUGGGCUGCUCGGGCACGCACGGGAGGGAUGGGAAGGGAAAGUGAAAAAGGAAAAAGGGAAAAGAUUCCAGCCCGGAACCCACCAGGCUGUUUUCAGCCACGGCGAGGCCGACUGGCCAGUCGGCCUGGGCGAAGCCGACUGGGCUUCAGUCGGCCUGGGCCAGGCCGACUGGCUCGUGGGGCCCCCGCGCGCACGACAGGCGGCCUGGCCGAGGCCGACUGGGCCUAAUCGGCGUGGGCCAGGCCGACUGGGCCCAUUCGGCCUCGCCCAGGCCGAGGCCGUAUUAUUUUUGAUAUUUUUGAAAAACACGUAUUAUUUUUAAAAAUGAUUAAAAAAAUCGUAUUAUAUAAAAAAAAUUAGCUCUCGCGUGUGGCCUUUACCGCUGUUCUUGUUAGAAUUAAAUGUACGGAAAAAUAUUGAUAUAACUUACUCCCUCCGUUCCAUAAUUCCUGUCGAAAAUGCGGUGGAACAGAGGGAGUACUAAAUAACUGUAAUAAGAUGCGGUGGCUAUUUCUUAGACUCGUUUUAGAUAAAGAUAUUAAGUAUGCCCGAUUACUAGUCAAUUAUAGUACUCCCUCCGAUCGGUAUUACUUGUUUCAAAUUUGCCUAAAUAUGAUGUAUCUUUGUGUAAAAAGCGUCUAGAUAUAUGUAAUAUUUCGACAAGUAAUUCCGACCGGAGGGAGUACUGUAAUAUUAAAAUAUGUUUUUUUGACACAAAAUAUUCAAAUAUGUGAUGAAUAAUUAAAAUUAUUUGGGGAUCAUCGACGGCUGAAUAAUCCCCGGCCAGAAAAUUCUAGGAAACUUCUCUCGCGUGUAAACACUAUUCCCAUUCUUUGGACGCUGCAUGAUUGCGCGGUUGAGAAGUCUCGCUUGACGGCUAGCCCAGGGCAUUUCCAUGUGAUGUUGAUAGGAGUGACUAGUGAGUCAAGGGUCGUUGACGGAGUGCAUCCAAUGGAACCUGAGACUGAACGACAUGAGUAAACCCGCUGUGCGUCGCAUUCAUUGUGACAAAAAAUACUCCAGGAACAUGUGCGCAAUGGCCAUGGCUAUCCUCCUCCUCCUUCUCCUUCUCCUGCCUCUCGCCGCUGCCCAGUGGCAAUCCUGCGACGGAAUCAGCAACUACACAGCAAGGAGCACGUACGAAACCAACCUGAGGCUCCUGUCGUCCGCCCUCCCAAAGAAAGCCGCGUCUAACAGCACUCUCUUCGCCACCGGCACCGCCGGCGAUGUUCCCGACACCGUCUACGCCCUUGCGCUCUGCCGCGGGGACACCAACGCUUCCGCCUGCGAGGACUGCGUGGCCACCGCCUUCAAGGACGGGCAGAGGCUCUGUCCGUACGAUAAGGGUGCCACCUUGUACUACGAUCCCUGCAUGCUUAGCUUCUCCGACCAGAAUUUUCUCGCCACCAACGACAAUAGCGGUGUGCUUCUCCUCAUGAACACCCAGAACUUCACGAUGAGCGCCGAUUCGGCCAGGCUCUUGUUGUUCAAUCUUUUGAACAGCACGACCCAAGCAGCCGUAAACAGCCCGAGGAGGUUCACGACUUCGCGCUUAGACGUCGGCUACAACUUCCCGACGCUGUUCUGUCUCAUGCAGUGCACGCCCGACCUGACAGCCGCCGAGUGCGCGGCCUGUUUCCAGGAUUUCCCACAGAUCACUCUCCAGUACCUCGACGGAAGUCAAGGUGGUCGAAUUCUCGGGAGGCGUUGUAGCAUGAGAUACGAGAUAUACCGGUUCUUUCAAGGGGACCCCCUGCCUCUUACCAUCGUGGCCUCCGCAGUUCCGGCGACCAACAACACUGCGCCAGGGACGCCAGUUGCCGUGUAUCCACAGCCGCAGGCGGAGCCUAAGACACCAGUUGGGGUACCACCACCGGAGGCACAAACGACGGUCCAAGAACAGCAAGGUAUGUGAUAUAUAAUGUAAAAUUCUGAUCCUUCAUGUGACACUUCGUUGAUUCGACUUGGCUGUGUGCAAAUUCCUUGAUUUGGAUAAUACGGAGCGAAUUUUCUGAUAAUUCCUUUUUGGACAUGUCAUACAUCUUCUAGGAAAAAAAGCUUAUGUUUGAGUAAUUCACUUUUGCAAUCUUCACUUAAUUACCUUCCAUCAACAAAAAAAAUCUUCACUUACCAGGAAAAUCGAGUGCAUAGUUUUAGCUUACUUUACUUUAUUUAAUAUAAUAGUUUUCUAGCUUGUUGAAAGUCUUGCGUGUGGUAGGCUGGUAGCAUCUUCAGACUUGCAAAGCAGAGCAGCUGAGCUUAGCAGUAGCAGUCGAAUUAUUGGGACAUCGAAGUAAUGCUUAAUUGCUUAUGAGAUUUUGUACAAAAUUGCAAAUUUACCAUGCGCUGAUACUGUGUUAUUAUGCUUAGGACGGAACUCAAAGCUGUGGGUUAUUGGUAUCGCCGUUCCAUUACUAUUGAUACUGCUCUGCUUUAUCUUUGCCAUUGUAUGGAUAAGAAGACGGAGAAAAGGUAUGUUCUAAUUUAUCACGCGUCACAAUAACGUUCUUCUAAAGAACAACCGCCGACUUUUUUAUCUACUCACCCUUCUUUGGGUAAUCAAAAGGUUUGAUCCCAAAUUAAUCAUGUAUCCAUGUGUGUGCUCGACUUAGGAAAGGCAAACUUGCAGAAUCAAGCUGCGGCGAAUAGAGGGGGGGAAGAUGCACUGGUUUGGAGAUUGGAAGAGAAGAGUUCAGACUUCACCCUCUUUGACUUUUCUGAGAUAUUGGACGCUACGCGCAACUUCUCAGAAGAAAACCGACUUGGGCAAGGUGGUUUUGGCCCUGUCUACAAGGUAAAUAAAAGGUUUAUUUUUGCAGGGGAAAAUCAAAAGGGAUGACUGUAUGAAUCGACAAAUCGUAUUCAAACAAUAAAAAAAUUCAAUCACGUUUCCUUCCAAAAAAUAUAUUCACUCAUGAGUUUCUGAAAUAAAUCUGAGACAUAGAUUAUACAUUAACCAAUACAUUCGUGUUGUGCAUGGCCAAAAGCACAUUAUUACAUAUUUACAAUACCACUAUUUAUAGUCGCCAGUAUAUAUGGAAUUGUGUUGUGAUGUGCCUAGUUCUCUAACCUACGUCGAAAAACAAAUUAUAAAGAUCCAUUAAACUACUUUCUUUAUAGAACUACGAGAAAGUGGGCCGCAUAGGAUGCAUAUAGGUGCGGGGCAUUUUUGAUGUGGCUUCGUUAACGGCAAUCAUGACCGAAUUGUCUUCUUGGGUCGCUACAUCCGUGCCUCAUACUCUCCCCGCAGCUGGCUAUCAGCCUCCACACUUCCACGGUCCACACCAUUGCAAACGCCAGCUUGCCUGAUGAGAGGUACCCAUCUGUCUGAUUUGACCCAAAUUGACAAAUGGGGUACAAAGUGGAUAAAACAAUACUAGCAAUAGUUACACAAUAUACAGUUGGCACUUGAUCAUAAAGAUACACGCAGGUUGCUAAUAUAUCCAGAUUUACUAAUUUAUCUCAACCAAAUGGGAUCAGCAUAAGAAACAUCAAAUGAAGCUGUAAUUGAAAAGAAAAGAAAUACUCCUUCCGAUCCGAAAAGCUUGACGCGACGGCCGGAGGGAGGGAGUGAGUUUUUGUGAAGUGGCUGCGUCAACAAAUUCGGAUCAGAGGGAGUACUGUACUUGAGAAACCAGUUUUAUUUGUUUUCGAAUGUUGAUUGGAAUUCAGAAGUGGAAAUUGAAGUAUAAAGGAGUGAAAGGGAACAUAGUCCAUGCCAUGGAUAUGUAUUGUUGUAUAUGCAAAAAGGUUUUUUUCAAAAUGAAUAUCUGUAAUCCUUUUUCUGCCAAUUCAGUGAAAAUUCAAUAGUGUCUGGAAUAUUGUUUUAUACAUGUUUCCAGGGCCAAUUACCAGGUGGGAUGGAAGUUGCAGUUAAAAGGCUUGCCUCACAUUCGGGACAGGGAUUCACAGAAUUCAAGAAUGAAGUUGAACUUAUAGCAAAACUGCAACACAAUAAUCUGGUCAGACUCUUGGGAUGCUGCAUUCAAGGAGAGGAAAAAAUUCUGGUGUACGAGUAUUUGCUAAAUAAGAGCUUGGACUUCUUUAUAUUUGGUAUUCACAAUGUAGCUCACUACUCAACAUGUCAUUCAUCCAUGCUAUAAAAUUAUGUCUAAUCUGUUGUUACCAUGAGUAAUUUGCAGAUGGGAACAGAACAACUUUAGUUGAUUGGAACAAACGCCGUUCGAUAGUCGAAGGGAUAGCACAAGGUCUUCUGUAUCUGCACAAGCACUCUCGUCUGCGCAUAAUACAUAGGGACCUUAAGGCCAGCAACAUUCUGUUGGACCAGGACAUGAAUCCUAAAAUUUCUGAUUUUGGGCUAGCAAAAAUUUUCAGCUCAAAUGAAAGUCAAGGAAGCACAAACAGGGUGGUGGGAACAUAGUAAGCAUAUCCCCUUAAUUUAUAGUACAGUUAAUGCCUAAAACACCAGUAAUUGUCUGAUCACUUGAACUGAAAAUGUUAUUUAAUAUUUUACUUGUGGUUCUGAAUCAUUUCAGCGGUUAUAUGUCUCCAGAGUAUGCCUCUGAAGGUAUUUACUCGAUCAAAUCUGACGUGUUCAGCUUUGGUGUUUUACUUCUUGAGAUUCUUAGCGGAAAAAGGAAUUCUGGUUUCCACCAGUAUGGGGAGUAUCUUAACCUCCUCGGAUACGUGAGUAUCUUCUGAACUCGUACACACAACCGUAUGUUUAUCCUGUAGAAAUUCUUGUCAUGUAUAUCAUGAAGAAUGUUUCUCCAGUCAUGGCAGCUCUGGAUAGAAGGAAGUUGGCUUGAGCUGGUAGAAGCAGACAUUGCUGGGGAGAUCCAUACAACAGAGGCUAGGAGGUAUAUUAACAUUGCACUGAUGUGCGUCCAGGAGAAUGCAGAUGAUCGACCUACAAUGUCAGAUGUUGUUGCAAUGUUAAACAGUGAGAGUGUUGUUCUUCCGGAGCCUAAUCAUCCAGCAUACUUCAACCUAAGAGUAUCUAAGGUACACGAAUCGGCCAGUGUUGUUGAUCCAUGUAGUAUCAACGACGUUACGAUCACUG